UACGUAGGGGGCAAGCGUUGUCCGGAAUCAUUGGGCGUAAAGAGCGUGUAGGCGGUUCGGUAAGUCGGCUGUGAAAGUCCAGGGCUCAACCCUGGGAUGCCGGUCGAUACUGCCGGACUAGAGUUCGGAGGAGGCGAGUGGAAUUCCCGGUGUAGCGGUGAAAUGCGCAGAUAUCGGGAGGAACACCUAUGGCGAAGGCAGCUCGCUGGGACGUUACUGACGCUGAGACGCGAAAGCGUGGGGAGCAAACGGG
rnacentral:rRNA from 1 species